CCUACGGGUGGCAGCAGUGGGGAAUAUUGCGCAAUGGGCGAAAGCCUGACGCAGCGACGCCGCGUGAGGGAUGAAGGUCUUCGGAUCGUAAACCUCUGUCAGCAGGGAAGAACGGUCACUGUGCUAAUCAGCAGUGAAUUGACGGUACCUGCAAAGGAAGCACCGGCUAACUCCGUGCCAGCAGCCGCGGUAAUACGGAGGGUGCGAGCGUUAACCGGAAUUACUGGGCGUAAAGCGCUCGUAGGCGGUAUGUCAAGUCAAGGGGGAAAUCCCCGCGCUCAACGUGGGGACUGCCUUAGAAACUGGCAAACUGGAGUGUGUGAGAGGAUAGUGGAAUUCCAGGGGUAGGAGUGAAAUCCGUAGAUAUCUGGAGGAACAUCAGUGGCGAAGGCGACUAUCUGGCACAUAACUGACGCUGAGGAGCGAAAGCGUGGGGAGCAAACAGGAUUAGAUACCCCAGUAGUC
rnacentral:rRNA from 1 species